AUGAGGUCAGGAACUGUGUUGUAGCAGGAGCGGCCACGGGAAAGGAUCUCUCGGACACCAAAUACAGGAGGAAGGAAUUUAUUUCAGCUAGGAGCAAGGUGGCAUAGGUGCCUAACAGCCAAGUUCUUCUAACAAAGGGAGGUUCAGCCUUUAUAUAGGCUUAUACUUUAGAUGUUACACGUGGAAGAAUAUUAGGUUCAUAGUUUUAGAACUUACAUGCCAAAAGGUCUCUGUUUACAGUUUUAGGAAUCACAUAUGAAAGGGUUCCGGUUUACAGUUUUAGGACUUAUAUGUGAAAAGG